rnacentral:rRNA from 1 species
GAUGAACGCUGGCGGCGUGCCUAAUACAUGCAAGUCGAGCGAACAGACGAGGAGCUUGCUCCUCUGACGUUAGCGGCGGACGGGUGAGUAACACGUGGAUAACCUACCUAUAAGACUGGGAUAACUUCGGGAAACCGGAGCUAAUACCGGAUAAUAUAUUGAACCGCAUGGUUCAAUAGUGAAAGACGGCUUUGCUGUCACUUAUAGAUGGAUCCGCGCCGCAUUAGCUAGUUGGUAAGGUAACGGCUUACCAAGGCAACGAUGCGUAGCCGGCCUGAGAGGGUGAUCGGCCACACUGGAACUGAGACACGGUCCAGACUCCUACGGGAGGCAGCAGUAGGGAAUCUUCCGCAAUGGGCGAAAGCCUGACGGAGCAACGCCGCGUGAGUGAUGAAGGUCUUCGGAUCGUAAAACUCUGUUAUUAGGGAAGAACAAAUGUGUAAGUAACUAUGCACGUCUUGACGGUACCUAAUCAGAAAGCCACGGCUAACUACGUG